rnacentral:misc_RNA from 2 species
AAUUCUCAACUUCAAAAUUUCUUGUUUUGAAGCUUGGAUGUUGGAGGGCUUUGCAGGCAUAUAGUAAUGUCAGCUCCUCUUAAAUGCAUUAGCAGAACUUGUACGUUCGGCUCUGGUUUGAUAAUCCUAUCUAUGCCAUCGCUGAAAGGUCAUUGUUCAGCUUCUAAUGGUCCACUUAUUGGACUGUCUCUUUGGAGGCAUAUCUUUUG